CGGUGCACAAGUCCGGCCGACUACACCAGGAUGCCGACUGCUUGUCUCGGCACCCUGGUGUAGUCGGCCGGACUUGUGCACUA
rnacentral:pre_miRNA from 1 species